GAUCCAUUCCGCAAACAAGAGCAGAAGCAGACCGAUGCACAACCAUUGGCCAAGUGAUUAGAGGGAGAUUCUGCGGGACAAUGUUUAAUCUGGUUUGUCAAUGUUCUUGAACCUUGUGUUGGAAUAAAAGGCUAAAAUUAAAUUU